rnacentral:rRNA from 1 species
UACGUAGGGCGCAAGCGUUAUCCGGAAUUAUUGGGCGUAAAGAGCUCGUAGGCGGUUUGUCGCGUCUGCCGUGAAAGUCCGGGGCUCAACUCCGGAUCUGCGGUGGGUACGGGGCAGACUAGAGUGAUGUAGGGGAGACUGGAAUUCCUGGUGUAGCGGUGAAAUGCGCAGAUAUCAGGAGGAACACCGAUGGCGAAGGCAGGUCUCUGGGCAUUAACUACGUGAGGAGCGAAAGCGUGGGGAGCGAACAGG